rnacentral:rRNA from 1 species
AGUACUCCGCCUGAGUAGUACGUACGCAAGUAUGAAACUUAAAGGAAUUGACGGGAUCCCGCACAAGCGGUGGAUCAUGUUGUUUAAUUCGAAGAUACACGAAAAACCUUACCAGGUCUUGACAUAUUCUGCGAAGCUAUAGAAAUAUAGUAGAGGUUACCAGAAAUACAGGUGGUGCAUGGUUGUCGUCAGCUCGUGUCGUGAGAUGUUAGGUUAAGUUCUAAAACGAGCGCAACCCUUAUCGUUAGUUACCAGCAUGUUAUGAUGGGGACUUUAGCGAGACUGCCAAUGAAAAAUUGGAGGAAGGUGAGGAUUACGUCAAAUCAUCAUGCCCCUUAUGAUCUGGGCUACAAACGUGAUACAAUGGCUAUUACAAAGAGUAGCUGAAACGCGAGUUUUUA